rnacentral:tRNA from 1 species
GGAGCUUAUACCUCCGUAGAGCACUCGCCAGAUAAGCGAGGGUAAUGUGGGUUCGAUUCCCACUGUCACUACCA